CGAAAGCCUGACGGAGCAAGACCGCGUGAGGGAGGAAGGCUCUUGGGUUGUAAACCUCUUUUCUCAGGGAAGAAGAAAGUGACGGUACCUGAGGAAUCAGCAUCGGCUAACUCCGUGCCAGCAGCCGCGGUAAUACGGAGGAUGCAAGCGUUAUCCGGAAUGAUUGGGCGUAAAGAGUCCGUAGGUGGCACUUCAAGUCUGUUGUCAAAGAGCACAGCUUAACUGUGAAAAGGCAGUGGAAACUGAAAAGCUAGAGAAUGGUAGGGGUAGAGGGAAUUCCCGGUGUAGCGGUGAAAUGCGUAGAGAUCGGGAAGAACACCAGUGGCGAAAGCGCUCUGCUGGACCUAUUCUGACACUGAGGGACGAAAGCUAGGGGAGCG
rnacentral:rRNA from 1 species